rnacentral:rRNA from 1 species
CCUACGGGAGGCAGCAGUAGGGAAUAUUGCUCAAUGGGGGAAACCCUGAAGCAGCAACGCCGCGUGGAGGAUGACGGUUUUCGGAUUGUAAACUCCUUUUGUUAGAGAAGAUAAUGACGGUAUCUAACGAAUAAGCACCGGCUAACUCCGUGCCAGCAGCCGCGGUAAUCCGGAGGGUGCAAGCGUUACUCGGAAUCACUGGGCGUAAAGAGCGUGUAGGCGGGAUAGCAAGUCAGAUGGGAAAUCCUAUGGCUUAACCAUAGAACUGCAUUUGAAACUGUUGUUCUAGAGUAUGGGAGAGGUAGGUGGAAUUCUUGGUGUAGGGGUAAAAUCCGUAGAGAUCAAGAAGAAUACUCAUUGCGAAGGCGACCUGCUAGAGCAUAACUGACGCUGAUGCGCGAAAGCGUGGGGAGCGAACAGGAUUAGAUACCCGAGUAGUC